rnacentral:rRNA from 1 species
GACGAACGCUGGCGGCGUGCUUAACACAUGCAAGUCGAACGGAAAGGCCUCUUUCGGGGGGUACUCGAGUGGCGAACGGGUGAGUAACACGUGAGUAACCUGCCCUUGACUUUGGGAUAACUUCAGGAAACUGGGGCUAAUACCGGAUAGGAGCUCCUGCUGCAUGGUGGGGGUUGGAAAGUUUCGGCGGUUGGGGAUGGACUCGCGGCUUAUCAGCUUGUUGGUGGGGUAGUGGCUUACCAAGGCUUUGACGGGUAGCCGGCCUGAGAGGGUGACCGGCAACAGUGGGACUGAGACACGGCCCAGGCUCCGACGGGAGGCAGCAGUGGGGAAUAUUGCACAAGGGGUGGAAGCCUGAUGCAGCAACGCCGUGUGCGGGAUGACGGCCUUCGGGUUGUAAACCGCUUUCGCUCAUGACGAAGCUUUGUGUGACGGUAGUGGGUAAAGAAGCACCGGCUAACUACGUG